rnacentral:miRNA from 1 species
UUGGACGGUAAGGUUAAGCAA